UGAAAACAUCAAACCGAUUUACAUUAUUUGCAUUUGUAACCUCACCGUAGGUAGGCAAUAACUUUUUUGGCAAUACAAUUUCUAAACUCCUGGAAGAUACAUUUUGGAACCAUUAUGGCAGCCAGUGAAUCAAGAGCGACCGCGCCAAGUGCAUGACUACGGCAUCGGUUUGGAAGAUGAGCGAAGCGUGACGAGAGGAGAAGCGGUAAGCCGGCGGUGACAGCCAGGCAUGUUCGCUUCGGCUUUUUUCCCUAGCAAAUCGACAGGAGAUACAACCCGGGAGAUGUGCUAUAAAACAAACUGCGCUCUCAAAGGAAGCCGGCGGACAGCGGUGGCUAGGUUGGCACGUCAGAAUAACCAGACAGAAAAGAAAGAGAGAGAAGGACGUGAUCAAUGGACUUGAACUCUGGAGCUCCACUGCCACAGAUGGAAAGGUGGUGUGGAGUCCUGCAGCCGAUGAGGCCUUCUGCCUACUGAAGGAGCGUUUCACCUCCGCCCCAUUGCUGAAACACCCAGAUCCUACGCUGCCCUUCGUGGUGGAAGUGAACGCCUCAGAAGUGGGCGUGGGGGCCACAACAUCAAGUUUCCCUCAGGUUGGUGGUUCCUGGUCCCCUGGAUGAUGCCGUCCCCCGCGACACCUCUUCGCCUCCCCUGGACAUUGAGGAGACCCCCACCUAUGCUGUUAGGUCCCUCCUGGAAUACCAAUGUUGUGUGGGUUGGCUCCAGUACCUGGUGGACUGGGAAGGGUACGGUCCUGAGGAGCGCACUUGGGUCCUGGUGGCGGAUAUCCUGGACCCUAACAUCAUCCGAGAUUUCCAUUUCCGCCAUCCGGACCAGUCCGCUCCUCACCCUCGAGGCUGUUCUCUUGGUUAUCGUCGUCCUGCGGCUGGAGCCCUGCAUCGGGGGGUACUGUCACGCCUAAUCCUGUUCCCUCCCUCCAGCGCUCAUAGUCUCCGGUCCACUAACCACCGGUCCUGGAAACCGACAUUGCGCACACCUGCUCCCCUGAACUUCAUCACCACCCUGAUGACUCUCCUUUCAUAUAGCCCUCAGUAGCCUCAGUCAUCAGGCAGUAUUAGUUUUGGUCACGUUUAGUAAGCUUCUCCUGUUUUGUGUUAUCUUCAUGUUUAUUAUUAUUAAACUCACCUUCUGCACCUA